rnacentral:rRNA from 1 species
UACGUAGGGUGCAGGCGUUAAUCGGAAUUACUGGGCGUAAAGCGUGCGCAGGCGGUUUGCUAAGACAGGUGUGAAAUCCCCGGGCUUAACCUGGGAACUGCGUUUGUGACUGCACAGCUGGAGUGCGGCAGAGGGGGAUGGAAUUCCGCGUGUAGCAGUGAAAUGCGUAGAUAUGCGGAGGAACACCGAUGGCGAAGGCAAUCCCCUGGGCCUGCACUGACGCUCAUGCACGAAAGCGUGGGGAGCAAACAGG